rnacentral:snoRNA from 14 species
GUGCACGCACCGAUAGUCUUCAACAGUUUGCGGCUGGUCUGGUCUGUCCUAGGAUGACAAAGGAAAGGCCCCUGAGCGUCCCCGCCUCUGUGAUGGCAUUGACUUGGGGUAGGGGAGU